rnacentral:rRNA from 1 species
ACGGAAGGCAGCAGUGAGGAAUAUUGGUCAAUGGGCGGAAGCCUGAACCAGCCAAGUCGCGUGAAGGAUGAAGGUUCUAUGGAUUGUAAACUUCUUUUGCCCGAGGGUAAAGGUCGGUACGUGUACCGAUUUGCAAGUAUCGGGUGAAUAAGCAUCGGCUAACUCCGUGCCAGCAGCCGCGGUAAUACGGAGGAUGCGAGCGUUAUCCGGAUUUAUUGGGUUUAAAGGGUGCGUAGGCGGGAUGUUAAGUCAGCGGUGAAAGUUUGCGGCUCAACCGUAAAAUUGCCGUUGAAACUGGCGUUCUUGAGUGUAAACGAGGUAGGCGGAAUGUGACGUGUAGCGGUGAAAUGCUUAGAUAUGUCACAGAACCCCGAUUGCGAAGGCAGCUUACCAGCAUACAACUGACGCUGAGGCACGAAAGCGUGGGUAUCAAACAGGAUUAGAUACCCUGGUA